rnacentral:rRNA from 1 species
UACGUAGGGACCGAGCGUUGUCCGGAAUCAUUGGGCGUAAAGAGCGUGUAGGCGGCCACUUAAGUCCUGCGUGAAAUCUUGCGGCUCAACCGCAAGCGGUCGUGGGAAACUGGGUGGCUAGAGUGCGGGAGAGGAGAGUGGAAUUCCUGGUGUAGCGGUGGAAUGCGCAGAUAUCAGGAGGAACACCGAUGGCGAAGGCAGAUCUCUGGGCCGUAACUGACGCUGAGGAGCGAAAGCAUGGGGAGCGAACAGGAUAGAACCCUGAG